rnacentral:rRNA from 1 species
UACGUAGGGUGCAAGCGUUAAUCGGAAUUACUGGGCGUAAAGCGUGCGCAGGCGGUUAUGUAAGACAGUUGUGAAAUCCCCGGGCUCAACCUGGGAAUUGCAUCUGUGACUGGCAUAGCUAGAGUACGGUAGAGGGGGGAUGGAAUUCCGGCGUGUAGCAGUGAAAUGCGUAGAUAUGGACGGAGGAACACCGAUGGCGAAGGCAAUCCCCUGGACCUGUACUGA